rnacentral:rRNA from 1 species
GCCGCCCCCGCCCGCCUACGGGAGCCAGCAGUGGGGAAUUUUCCGCAAUGGGCGAAGGCCUGACGGAGCAACGCCGCGUGAGGGACGAAGGCCUUAGGGUUGUAAACCUCUUUUCUCUGGGAAGAAGAACUGACGGUACCAGAGGAAUAAGCCUCGGCUAACUCCGUGCCAGCAGCCGCGGUAAGACGGAGGAGGCAAGCGUUAUCCGGAAUUAUUGGGCGUAAAGCGUCCGCAGGCGGCUUCUUAAGCCUGUUGUCAAAGCCCACAGCUCAACUGUGGAUCGGCAAUGGAAACUGGGAAGCUAGAGUGUGGUAGGGGUAGAGGGAAUUCUCGGUGUAGCGGUGAAAUGCGUAGAUAUCGGGAAGAACACCAGUGGCGAAGGCGCUCUACUGGGCCACAACUGACGCUGAGGGACGAAAGCUAGGGGAGCGAAAGGGAUUAGAUACCCCUGUAGUCCUAGCUGUAAACGAUGGAUACUAGGUGUUGGACGUAUCGACCCGUGCAGUACCGUAGCUAACGCGUUAAGUAUCCCGCCUGGGGAGUACGCACGCAAGUGUGAAACUCAAAGGAAUUGACGGA